AAAGCGUGCGCAGGCGGCUUUGCAAGACAGAGGUGAAAUCCCCGGGCUCAACCUGGGAACUGCCUUUGUGACUGCAAGGCUAGAGUACGGCAGAGGGAGAUGGAAUUCCGCGUGUAGCAGUGAAAUGCGUAGAUAUGCGGAGGAACACCGAUGGCGAAGGCAAUCUCCUGGGCCUGUACUGACGCUCAUGCACGAAAGCGUGGGGAGCAAACAGGAUUAGAUACCCCAGU
rnacentral:rRNA from 1 species